rnacentral:rRNA from 1 species
UACGGGGGGGGCAAGCGUUGUUCGGAAUUACUGGGCGUAAAGGGCUCGUAGGUGGCCAACUAAGUCAGACGUGAAAUCCCUCGGCUUAACCGGGGAACUGCGUCUGAUACUGGAUGGCUUGAGCUCGGGAGAGGGAUGCGGAAUUCCAGGUGUAGCGGUGAAAUGCGUAGAUAUCUGGAGGAACACCGGUGGCGAAGGCGGCAUCCUGGACCGAUACUGACGCUGAGGAGCGAAAGCGUGGGGAGCGAACAGG